AAAGCCUGAUGGAGCAACGCCGCGUGAGUGAAGAAGGAUUUCGGUUCGUAAAACUCUGUUGUAAGGGAAGAACAAGUACAGUAGUAACUGGCUGUACCUUGACGGUACCUUAUUAGAAAGCCACGGCUAACUACGUGCCAGCAGCCGCGGUAAUACGAAGGGGGCUAGCGUUGUUCGGAAUUACUGGGCGUAAAGCGCACGUAGGCGGAUCGAUCAGUUAGGGGUGAAAUCCCAGGGCUCAACCCUGGAACUGCCUCUAAUACUGUCGAUCUCGAGUUCGAGAGAGGUGAGUGGAAUUCCGAGUGUAGAGGUGAAAUUCGUAGAUAUUCGGAGGAACACCAGUGGCGAAGGCGGCUCACUGGCUCGAUACUGACGCUGAGGUGCGAAAGCGUGGGGAGCAAACA
rnacentral:rRNA from 1 species